rnacentral:lncRNA from 1 species
GAAAGUCAUGUUAAGGGAGGAGUGUAAAUCUCUCCCGAAAACCACCCUAGGUGUUUUGUUGUUGUUUUGUUUUUUAAAGGAAUCCAUCCACAAGGCAAUGAGUUAUGGGUGAAGAAGAGAUAAACGCAUGCGGGAGGGAUGCCUCCACUGUCCAUCCUGCCCUCAAGUUAUCCAAAGACCUUCAGACCAGAGGCCACGCUCCCUCACCUCAUACAGCAGCUGCCACUGGGCUGGGAAGAGGCACAAGGACUGUCCCCGAUGGAUGCUGUGGGAGCCUGUGAAAUUAGCAAGAUAUGAAGGUUUACAGAUGAAGUUCCAGAUUUGAAUGCAACUUAUGUUGUUGAUGGACUAGUCAGUGAUGCUACCAGCAAACUCUAUGCUGCCAUUUCCAGGUGAGAGACAAGUGAGAAAGUGCUGGUGCCUCUAGAUAAUCUGUGGAAUUCCAAAAAGAGGAUGAGAAGAAGUUCAAACAAAAUAGGGAUAGCUAAAGGAGGAGGAGGAGGAGGAGGAGGAGGAGGAGGAGAGGAAUGUAGGGAGGAAGAGAGGAGCAAAAAUUCUAGGGCAUUGGAGAACCUUGAUGGUGUGGGAGAUGGGAGGGGAGGUGGGGCUCAUUCCAAAGUGGAGAAGCCAGGAACCUGAGAAGGAGCCUCAGAAACACUAAAAUAUGACAGUGAUUAUUUUGUAAUUCUGCUGAAAUUUUGCAUCAGGAAGGAGGGCUGCCCUGCCCCUAGAACCCAGAGCUUGUAUUUUAUCCUUUGCUUCUAUUAUGGAGUACGUGGGUUAGCCUGAGAAGAUACCAGCAGGAAUAAUAGGAUUUCAUUGGGGAGAUGUGUUCUGUUAACUGAUUUCUGGGAUGCAGAGGACUUGUAACUGAGGCUCCCGGAGUCUGUAUCCAGGUGGGCCUUCCUUGGAACAUGAUGUUGGCAUAGGAAGGUAGUUUGCUCAAGACACAAAUUCAAACAUCCAAAAUUAUUCCCCUUAGUACGACUAUUGAGCAAGGAGAUUCCCAGAUACAUACCAAGGUUCGUCUUCAAGAUGUUUAUACACCCAUAUUCAUAGCACCAUUAUUCACAGUAGCUAAAAUAUGGAAGCAGCCCAGUGUCCACCGAUGGAUGGAAGGAUAAACAGAAUGUGAUAUAUACAUACAUAGAAUCUUAUUCAGCCUUAAAAAGAAAGGAAAUCCUGACACAGGCUACAACAUAAACGAUGCUUGAGGACAUUACUGCUAAGUGAAAUAAGCCAGGUACAAAAAGACAUAUAAUGUAUGAUUCCACUUACAUAAGGCACUUAGAGCAGUCGC